AUUGAACGCUGGCGGCAGGCCUAACACAUGCAAGUCGAGCGAGCGGCGGACGGGGGAGUAAUGUAUGGGGACCGUGGGUUAGUGGGGGAUAACCACUGGAAACGGUGGCGAAAACCGCAGACUGUCGGAUAAACCGUAUGGGAUUGGCUAGUAGGUAAGGUAAUGGCUUCCCUAGGGCACGAACCCUUGCUGGUUUGAUAGGGUGAUCAGCCCCACUGGGACUGAGACACGGCCCAGACUCCUACGGAGGCAGCAGUGGGGAAGAUUGCACAAUGGGCGCAAGCCUGAUGCAGCCAUGCCGCGUGUAUGAAGAAGGCCCUAGGGUUGUAAAGUACUUUCAGUCGGUAGGCGUUACCGACAGAAGAAGCACCGGCUAACUCCGUGCCAGCAGCCGCGGUAAUAC
rnacentral:rRNA from 1 species